rnacentral:tRNA from 1 species
GGAAGAAUAGUUUAACUUUACAAAACAUAACACUGAAAAUGUUAAAAUGACUCGGUCUUAUUCCA